rnacentral:rRNA from 1 species
GAAAACAGCCUUCAGGUCCAGAAUGAAACAUUGGGCGAACGCUAUUUGGGCAUGCCCACUGAUGUUGGACACUCCAAGAACGGAACAUUCAAAUAUCUGCGGGAUAGAGUGUGGGAGAAAAUAAGUGGAUGGAUGGAAAAACUGCUGUCAUCUGCGGGCAAGGAGGUCUUGAUAAAGUCAGUUACUCAAGCAAUACCAGUUUAUUCUAUGUCAUGCUUUAGGUUGCCAAGGGGUGUGUGCCAGGAUAUCACAUCCCUUAUUCGUCAAUUUUGGUGGAGCAGUAAAAGAGGAAAGAGGAAACCCUCAUGGGUUGCGUGGGAUGUGAUGAUCAGACCCAAGUAUAUGGGGGUAUGGGAUUCAGAGAUCUCGAGUUGUUCAACCUGGCGUUAUUAG